CCUCGGUGACAUUUCGCCGCGAUUCGCCGAAACGGCUUUGCGAUGGUUGUGUGAGUGCAAAGUGUCAAAAACCACGUCACGACGGUGAAGGACGGUUAAUUUUGGACUUGUCGCAUCAAGUUCGUCCGUUUCUUGCGUAAAAUUGGUUCCCUUUUUAUGGUCCUUCACCCAAAAUCCUCUUCCCAAGCCGUAGCAGAUUCUUCAACGCAAGCCCUCUCCCACUGUGGGCAGCAAAAGCAGCCGGAACUUUUGCUGCUUUUUAGGAGACUUCGUUGACGAGUUGCCCCAAGUACGCCCCAGUACGACGCCAAGGCCGUCGGCAACCGGCGAAGGAACCUUCAGGAAACUACCUCCAGUUGAUUUAGAAUCGGCGAGUGUCCGGUUGCUGGUGGCGGCCGCUGCCUAUCAAGAAGAAGCGUUGGAUCGCCAGCAC